AAAAAUUAAUGCCAAAGGACAUGGUGGUUAACGAGAUAUUUUCUCUUCCUCGACUUCUUGGAUUCCAAUCUUGAGGCCAGCAAGUUGACGUGGGGGUGGCGCCCCAGCGAAGGGAUGUAG